rnacentral:rRNA from 1 species
UCACCUACGGGAGGCAGCAGUGGGGAAUAUUGCACAAUGGGCGGAAGCCUGAUGCAGCGACGCCGCGUGAGGGAUGACGGCCUUCGGGUUGUAAACCUCUUUCAGCAGGGACGAAGCGUAAGUGACGGUACCUGCAGAAGAAGCGCCGGCCAACUACGUGCCAGCAGCCGCGGUAAGACGUAGGGCGCGAGCGUUGUCCGGAUUUAUUGGGCGUAAAGAGCUCGUAGGCGGCUUGUCGCGUCGACCGUGAAAACUUGGGGCUCAACCCCAAGCCUGCGGUCGAUACGGGCAGGCUAGAGUUCGGUAGGGGAGACUGGAAUUCCUGGUGUAGCGGUGAAAUGCGCAGAUAUCAGGAGGAACACCGGUGGCGAAGGCGGGUCUCUGGGCCGAUACUGACGCUGAGGAGCGAAAGCGUGGGGAGCGAACAGGAUUAGAUACCCGGGUAGUCACA